UACGUAGGGUCCGAGCGUUGUCCGGAAUUAUUGGGCGUAAAGAGCUCGUAGGCGGUUUGUCGCGUCUGCUGUGAAAACUGGAGGCUCAACCUCCAGCCUGCAGUGGGUACGGGCAGACUCGAGUGCGGUAGGGGAGAUUGGAAUUCCUGGUGUAGCGGUGGAAUGCGCAGAUAUCAGGAGGAACACCGAUGGCGAAGGCAGAUCUCUGGGCCGUAACUGACGCUGAGGAGCGAAAGCAUGGGGAGCGAACAGG
rnacentral:rRNA from 1 species